UACGUAGGGGGCAAGCGUUGUCCGGAAUCAUUGGGCGUAAAGCGCGCGUAGGCGGCCCGGUAAGUCCGUUGUGAAAGUCAAAGGCUCAACCUUUGAACGCCGAUGGAUACUGCCGGGCUAGAGUCCGGAAGAGGCGAGUGGAAUUCCUGGUGUAGCGGUGGAAUGCGCAGAUAUCAGGAGGAACACCAAUAGCGAAGGCAGCUCGCUGGGACGUGACUGACGCUGAGACUCGAAAGCGUGGGGAGCAAACAGG
rnacentral:rRNA from 1 species